rnacentral:rRNA from 1 species
AGGAUGAACGCUGGCGGUAUGCUUUACACAUGCAAGUCGAACGCAAGUUUUUAACUUGAGUGGCGGACGGGUGAGUAACACGUGAGAAUUCGCCUUUAGGCGGGGAAUAACUAUAGGAAACCAUAGCUAAUGCCCCAUGUGCUCGCAAGAGUGAAAGGAGCAAUCCACCCAAAGAGAAGCUCGCGGCUGAUUAGCUAGUUGGUAAGGUAACGGCUUACCAAGGCGACGAUCAGUAGCUGGUUUGAGAGAACGAUCAGCCACACUGGAACUGAGACACGGUCCAGACUCCUACGGGAGGCAGCGAGGAGGUUACUCGAUAGCGGAAGAAC